rnacentral:rRNA from 1 species
UACGAAGGGGGCUAGCGUUGCUCGGAAUCACUGGGCGUAAAGCGCACGUAGGCGGGUCUUUAAGUCAGGGGUGAAAUCCUGGAGCUCAACUCCAGAACUGCCUUUGAUACUGAAGAUCUUGAGUUCGGGGGAGGUGAGUGGAACUGCGAGUGUAGAGGUGAAAUUCGUAGAUAUUCGCAAGAACACCAGUGGCGAAGGCGGCUCACUGGCCCGGUACUGACGCUGAGGUGCGAAAGCGUGGGGAGCAAACGGG